AUCAGGUGUUGCCAUUACACAAAAACAUGCGGUCAAGCCGAUGGUAUAUUCGAGUUCUCGUUAAAAAUGUUGUUAAAUACAAAUGUUUUUGUCAAUGUCAUCUGAUUCUGACAACUUGACGUCAUCAUUUUUUUUCCAUAUCAUAUUAUUUUCAUCAUUAUCUACGAGCUACGAGACCUGCAAUAGUACUGUUUGUUGAUUUAUUGAGUAGCAGACUGCGACAAAAUGUAUUUGAAGUUGUGCGUAUUAAUAUUUGCACUGCUGGCUGUCAGCAGCGUAGAAGCGUCAUCGGGCUACGACUUUGGAGACUUCUUUGCCACAGUUCUAGGUCUCGGAAUUGCGAUCAUUGGGAUCCUCGCGUGUUUAGGCAACUACGCGAGACAGAAAGCGAGAAACGAAUUCAUAUAACGCAAUCAUAUACACACGGCAAGUGGAAGCAAGCAAUGCGAAAAGACGAAAUAAAAUGUAUAUGGCCUGUAAAGUUUUUGUUAAUUAUAAGAACUUCCAUAUAUUAAGUAUAACAGAAAGAACGAAGACUGUACAUCAAGUAAAAUUAAUGAUAUUGAUAUGAAUUGAAUCCAUUAAUACAGGCUUGGUUUAGUAUAAGAACAGUCGCAUAGCCAAUUGCAUAGCACAUGUGUUAAUUAUGUUAAUAAAUUCACUGAUAAUGUA